CCUUCCACUUGUCCAAAUGAGAUGAAAUUUGACAUGCUUACCAUGCUAUGUGUUAGGUUUGAUCAUGAUUUAUUUGGUGAUUUUUGGAAAAUGUUUAGAUUGCUUUUGAGUUAAGUCUUGCUGUUGACUUCUGUGAGCUUCUGUUUGCCAUGUUUUGACCUAAUCUGUUCAUGAAAUGAUGAUAGUGUUUGAUAUGAAUGUGAACCCAAUUGGUUUUGUUUCUUGAAUGUUUAAACAUGAUUUUGG
rnacentral:lncRNA from 1 species